rnacentral:rRNA from 1 species
UACGUAGGGGGCAAGCGUUGUCCGGAAUUAUUGGGCGUAAAGAGCGCGUAGGCGGUCCGAUAAGUCGGCUGUGAAAGUCCAGGGCUCAACCCUGGAAAGCCGGCCGAUACUGUCGGACUAGAGUCCGGAAGAGGCAAGUGGAAUUCCCGGUGUAGCGGUGGAAUGCGUAGAGAUCGGGAAGAACACCAGUGGCGAAGGCGGUCUGCUGGGCCGUUGCUGACGCUGAGGCGCGACAGCGUGGGGAGCAAACAGG